UCUACCCCUGUGACUUGCCUGGGUGGACAAAAUUAAGGUUCCUCUGUUAAUCCCAACUACUGGAACAAACGUACCCUUUUCCUGCCUUACUCCCUUGGAAAGUGAACAAGAGGAAUACAAAGAACAUUAUACCCCUGAUCUACCCCUGUGACUUGCCUGGGUGGACAAAAUUAAGGUUCCUCUGUUAAUCCCAACUACUGGAACAAACGUACCCUUUUCCUGCCUUACUCCCUUGGAAAGUGAACAAGAGGAAUACAAAGAACAUUAUACCCCUGAUCUACCCCUGUGACUUGCCUGGGUGGACAAAAUUAAGGUUCCUCUGUUAAUCCCAACUACUGGAACAAACGUACCCUUUUCCUGCCUUACUCCCUUGGAAAGUGAACAAGAGGAAUACAAAGAACAUUAUACCCCUGAUCUACCCCUGUGACUUGCCUGGGUGGACAAAAUUAAGGUUCCUCUGUUAAUCCCAACUACUGGAACAAACGUACCCUUUUCCUGCCUUACUCCCUUGGAAAGUGAACAAGAGGAAU